ensembl:ncRNA lncRNA:CR42765 long non-coding RNA:CR42765
GACAAAGAAAGUGGAAUUGCUUUCGAAGUUCUUUUUAAUUCCAGUGCAAUGACGUCAGACUCCGUCGCAUGCGGUGCCGGCUAAUACGAAAUGCAAAUGAUUGCAAAGUGUAUGCAAUUUGGACACUACCCAUUAAAUUAAAUAUAAACACUUUGAUAUAUCCAUGGAAAUCUAGAAGCUUCAAGCAUGCGAAUGUGAUUUCUAUUUAUGAGCACACAAGUUGUGUGUCUGGGUUCAUAAAUUUUCCAGCUUCCAAUUGAAUCGCAUGUGCGCAAUGUCCGGGAAAUUGGCUAAGGGAGGAACAAGCGAAGCAGUCGCUAGGUCGUCGGAGCAUGACAAGGAUUAGCGUGGAGGGGAUGACGCCCAGGACUACAAGGACUACGAGGACAGGGAUGUGACGACGACGACGACGACGACGGCGACGAUGAUGAUGAUUGUGAUGAUGAUAUUGUACUGCUGUUGCUGGUGACAAUCAGUGAAAAAGAGAGAAAGAUGCAGAGCAGCCUAGUUGCACAGAGAACAAAGGCCACAAAUAAUAUAUAACUCAUCAAUAAAAUGACUAAAAUAAAAUGACAAAAAUGCCCAAUG